GUUAAUGUAGCUUAAAAUAAAGCAAAGCACUGAAAAUGCUUAGACGGAUAAUUUAUCCCAUAAACA
rnacentral:tRNA from 2 species